CUUCGUCUUCGUCGUCCGUCAGUUGAGUUUCAGACUAGUUGGAAGAGUCAUCGUUUGUUCGGUCGUUUUUUCUCAUCAGCAAGUUUUUCGACGGGUGAAGAAAAGAAAGCUCAUCAGCGAAAACGGAAAGAAAAUCCCUUUGUGACGAUUGAUUUAGCAGCUGAACAGGAUCAAGUUCAGAUUCGCCAAGUGAUACUCGAAGUAGCGAUCUAGUUCCGGAUACCAUGGCCGAAGGAAAGAAUGAGGAUUUGGCGACCGCGAUUCUGAAGCGGAAGGAGCGCCCGAACCGUUUGAUCGUGGACGAAGCCGGCAACGAUGACAACUCGGUCAUUUCGCUGUCCCAGGCGAAGAUGGACGAAUUGCAGCUGUUCCGUGGAGACACCGUCCUGCUGAAGGGCAAACGCCGCAAGGAAACGGUUUUGCAUUCGUCCUGUCUGACGACAACUGCCGGACGAGAAGAUCCGCAUGAACCGCGUGGUGCGCAACAAUCUGCGUGUGCGCCUGGGGGAUGUCGUGUCCAUUCAGUCUUGCCCUGAUGUCAAGUAUGGCAAGCGAGUGCACAUCUUGCCAUCGACGACACCGUUGAGGGUCUGACCGGUAAUCUGUUCGAUGUGUAUCUGCGUCCGUACUUCCUGGAAGCUUACCGGCCCAUCCACAGCGAUGACACGUUUAUCGUGCGCGGAGGAAUGCGUGCCGUUGAAUUCAAGGUGGUCGGAGCUGAUCCGUCGCCAUACUGUAUUGUGGCCCCCGGAAACGGUUAUCCACUGUGAGGGCGAUCCGAUCAAGCGCGAAGAGGAAGAGGAAGCGCUGAAUGCGGUUGGUUAUGAUGAUAUCGGUGGCUGCCGCAAGCAGUUAGCCCAAAUCAAGGAAAUGGUUGAGCUUUCCGUUGAGACAUCCAUCGCUGUUCAAGGCGAUCGGUGUGAAACCUCCAAGAGGUAUUCUUAUGUACGGUCCACCUGGAACAGGUAAGACCUUGAUCGCUCGUGCCGUUGCCAACGAAACGGGCGCUUUCUUCUUCCUGAUCAACGGUCCGGAAAUUAUGUCCAAAUUGGCCGGAGAAUCGGAAUCCAAUCUGCGUAAGGCCUUUGAGGAAGCUGAAAAGAAAUCUCCGGCUAUUAUCUUCAUCGACGAAUUGGAUGCCAUUGCUCCAAAACGUGAGAAGACCCACGGUGAGGUGGAACGUCGUAUCGUGUCGCAGCUGUUGACGCUUAUGGAUGGCAUGAAGAAGAGUUCGCAUGUGAUUGUGAUGGCGGCCACUAAUCGACCCAACUCGAUUGACCCUGCUUUGCGUCGUUUUGGACGUUUCGAUCGUGAAAUUGACAUCGGAAUUCCGGACGCCACCGGGACGACUGGAAGUGCUGAGAAUUCACUCCAAAAACAUGAAAUUGGCUGAUGACGUAGAUCUGGAACAGAUUGCCGCCGAAUCGCACGGUCAUGUUGGUGCUGAUUUGGCAUCCCUGUGCUCGGAAGCCGCUCUGCAGCAGAUUCGUGAAAAGAUGGAUUUGAUCGAUUUGGAGGAUGACCAGAUCGAUGCUGAAGUGUUGAACUCGUUGGCCGUUUCGAUGGAGAACUUCCGUUACGCUAUGACCAAAUCGAGCCCGUCUGCUUUGCGUGAAACUGUCGUCGAAGUUCCGAACACCACCUGGCACGACAUCGGAGGUCUGGAGAACGUCAAGCGUGAGCUGCAAGAAUUGGUUCAAUAUCCAGUGGAGCAUCCGGACAAGUUCUUGAAGUUUGGCAUGCAGCCGUCGCGUGGUGUGCUUUUCUACGGACCACCCGGUUGUGGUAAGACCCUGCUGGCCAAGGCCAUUGCCAACGAGUGCCAAGCUAAUUUCAUCUCGGUUAAGGGACCCGAACUGUUGACCAUGUGGUUCGGUGAGUCCGAGGCCAACGUUCGUGACAUCUUCGACAAGGCACGUUCGGCUUCGCCUUGCGUGUUGUUCUUCGAUGAGUUGGACAGUAUCGCCAAAUCGCGAGGUGGAAACGUGGGAGAUGCUGGUGGUGCCGCUGAUCGUGUCAUCAACCAAAUUCUGACUGAAAUGGACGGUAUGGGUGCCAAGAAGAACGUCUUUAUCAUCGGUGCCACCAAUCGUCCGGACAUUAUCGAUCCGGCCAUCUUGCGUCCGGGUCGUCUCGAUCAGUUGAUCUACAUUCCGCUGCCGGACGACAAGUCCCGUGAGGCUAUCCUGAAGGCGAACUUGCGCAAGAGUCCGGUGGCCGGCGAUGUUGACUUGACGUACGUGGCCAAGGUGACUCAGGGAUUCUCCGGUGCCGAUUUGACUGAAAUUUGCCAACGUGCCUGCAAGUUGGCCAUCCGUCAGGCAAUUGAAGCCGAAAUUCGCCGGGAAGCGGGAGCGCACCGAAGGACAGAGCUCAGCGAUGGAUAUGGACGAGGAUGAUCCAGUGCCGAACAUCACCCGGGCGCACUUCGAAGAGGCAAUGAAGUUUGCCCGUCGGUCGGUGUCCGAUAACGAUAUUCGCAAGUACGAAAUGUUUGCGCAAACGCUACAGCAGUCCCGUGGAUUUGGAAGCAACUUCAGAUUCCCAGGCGGUCAGAGUGGUUCCAGCUCACAGGGACAGGGAUCAAGUCAACCGACGAGCAAUCCAGCCGACAACGGGGAUGACGAUCUCUAUAGUUAGACUGCUGCAUUCGCCAUUUGCGUUAGACAGCAAUUUUUGAUCCGUAGAAUAUCAAAUGAGCGAGAAUGUCCAUCCGUAACGCGCCCAUUCCCAAUUGCUAGCAGCAGAUCAGAUAUCCAUCAAAAUAACAUAAAACACAACACACACAAGCAAACAACCCGCGGAGGUCGAUCAACUAUUGACUUGUACACUCUCUAGCUCUGCCCUCAUUUCCAUUACCCGGCUGGAAUCGGCCAGCAAAAUGGAACGCCAAUCUUACAUGGGCGACAGAGGGCCAUCCGUUAUAAAUGAUUGCAUACAACCAGAUUGAAAAAUUCUAAUCUUUCUUAAAAUACGAAUAUUUACCGUAAGGGAAGUUAUCUUUUUUAUCAAAACAGUAAAACUUAAGCAAGACCUAGCUGAGGAAGAGAAACGAUAUGGUUGAUCAAGUAGAGAAGUCCUUGUCUUUCUGUCUAAUCUAUCCUGUUUAUAUUUAUUGGAUCAUUAAAUAACAAUCCCACCCCUUUGUUGAACUCUACUUACAAAAAUUUUAAGUUUUACUUCACCUCAAUGCGUAUUUUUCUCCCCGACUACCUACAGUUUUCCUUUUAAACAAACUCGUUCAAUGAUAUAGUACUUUAGCAUAAUUUGAACACAUAUUAUCCAAUCAUCGAGCAGCAGGGGGAGGUGAACCUGUUCUGAACACAUUGAUGCUUUGGUGGACUGUCGUGGAUAUACUGGGGAGAUAUCGUUGGAAGAUCUCUUUUCCGAAUUCGACGCCAAAGCGUCAUUGAUUAUUUCUAUUUAGGAACCACACUCUAUUCUUACUUAGGAUGCGCAUUAGCUCUAGGUAUAGUAGCGACUAUUGGUCAGAGAGUUUGGAACUGUAAGGUGAUUAAAUAUGAAAACAAGAAAAAAAAGAUAAUAAAAUAGAUUUAAAAUGUA